UACGGAGGGUGCAAACGUUGCUCGGAAUCAUUGGGCGUAAAGCGCACGUAGGCGGCCUGAUAAGUCGGGUGUGAAAGCCCUGGGCUCAACCCAGGAAGUGCACUCGAAACUGUCAGGCUUGAAUAUGGAAGAGGGUCGCGGAAUUCCCGGUGUAGAGGUGAAAUUCGUAGAUAUCGGGAGGAACACCAGUGGCGAAGGCGGCGAUCUGGGAAGAUACUGACGCUGAGGUGCGAAAGCGUGGGGAGCGAACAGG
rnacentral:rRNA from 1 species